UGGGGAAUUUUGCACAAUGGGGGAAACCCUGAUGCAGCGACGCCGCGUGAUUUAGAAGGCCUUCGGGUUGUAAAAAUCUUUUCUAUGGGAAGAAAAUGACAGUACCAUAGGAAUAAGGACCGGCUAAUCACGUGCCAGCAGCCGCGGUAAUACGUAAGGUCCGAGCGUUGUCCGGAAUCAUUGGGCGUAAAGGGUACGUAGGCGGUUAAGCAAGUUAGAAGUGAAAUCCUGUAGCUCAACUACAGUAAGCUUUUAAAACUGCUCAUCUUGAGAUAUGGAAGGGAAAGUGGAAUUCCUAGUGGAUGGGUGAAAUGCGCAGAUAUUAGGAGGAAAACCGGUGGCGAAGGCGACUUUCUGGCCAUAAUCUGACGCUGAGGUACGAAAGCGGGGGUAGCAAACAGG
rnacentral:rRNA from 1 species